CAUGAAUGUAUUUGACAUUAAGAGCUGAACAGAAAGCAUGGCUUUUGAGGCCUCAGGAAACACAAUCAUGGUGCAAGGUGAAGAAGAAGGGGGCACAUCUUACAUCGCCAAAGGAAGAGGGAGAGAGAGCAAAGACGGAGGUGCUACACACUUUUAAACAAUCAGAUCUUGUGAGAGCUCACUCACUGUCAUGAGAACGGCAACGGGGAAAUCUAUCCCCAUGAUUGAAUCACCUCCAAGCAGGCCCCUCUGUUUAACACUGGAGAUUACAAUUCGACCUUAGAUUUAGGUGGGGACACAAAUCCAAACCAUAUUAAAUAUCAUGGAGCAAGUUAGUCUAGAUGAUAUCACAUUUGUAUAAGGCCAUGAUAUAGUGGCCUUAUUUUCAUAUUUUUAGUAUUUCAGCAAAUGUU
rnacentral:lncRNA from 10 species